GCUGGGCGCGGUGGCUCAAGCCUGUAAUCCCAGCACUUUGGGAGGCUGAGGCGGGCGGAUCAUGAGGUCAGGAGAUCGAGACCAUCCUGGCUAACACGAUGAAACCCCGUCUCUACUAAAAANNNNNNNNNNUUUUUAGUAGAGACGGGGUUUCAUCGUGUUAGCCAGGAUGGUCUCGAUCUCCUGACCUCAUGAUCCGCCCGCCUCAG
rnacentral:SRP_RNA from 1 species